UAGGCAUACGAGAAUGAAACUUCUGUACAUUUUAAUCUGAAUAAUUCUUCAGGAUUUAAAAUUAAUUGGCUCUAGCUUGGUUGGACCGGACUCGGAUCUCGCCACCGCUGCGUUUCCGAGUCACUGGCGGGGAGAGGUGAUCUUCUUCUUUUUUUUUUUUUUUUUUUUUUUUUCCUCCCUGAACUGGGUUUAUGUGCGUCCCCCUCACCCCCUCCUCUCUUUUUCUUUCUCUGUCUCUGUCGUCUCUCUCGCUGGCUUUUUAAAAAUGAGGAACCGUUCCUUGAAUGUUCUGGACAGAGCACAGAAUUGCUUCUUAAGUCAGCCCGACGCGGUUGCAAUAGACAGCCAAAAGGUAAACGUUUGCCUGAAAUCCGCACGCCAGUUCCGCCACCCCGCCCGAUGGUCUCGUUUCCUCUGGGAUUGCUCCUGAGCGGGCUGUCUUCAUGCCAGGGGCGGGCAGUCGAAUCGCUGGCCUUCACGGGACCACUGGACAUCUGGCAGAAAACAGGAAGCCGUGACUUCGCUCAGCCGGAAAACUACGAGAAUGUUCUUUGUCCCCCCGACGUGGGCGGGGGGGGUGUUGUUUCGCUGGUGCUCCAGACGCCCCUACGGUUUCUUCGGAGCCUCGUCUACACCUGUGACACUAAGGUUUGUGAAGUCACUCGAGUCUCAUGAAGGAUUUAGUUGCACUGCGUUGCCGUGAACGCUUGGAUUUGGACGCAAGGCUCACGACUGCCUUCUGGAUUUUCCAUGGUAGGGUGAAAAAAAAACAUGCGUGACACACAUCACCAAGAAUCCAUGUCUGUGCCUGGCAGUGUAAUCGAGAAAAGCUUUGGAAUGCGAGUGGACGGCAUUAUGAAUAGCUUUCCUUAGCACACCUGCAGAAAGGCACUACCUUUAGACACACCUUUGUCAAGCGCGUGUGCGUAAGGCAAAGUGUUAGACAGAUGUGACAAAUGGGUGGGUGAUGCCUUUGUAGAAGAUUCUCCCAGGACUCUGAUGGGCUGAGGUUUAGAGAUGCCCAUACAGCCUCCGGGCGCUAAGAAGAUUACAGCCGGGGCCCGAUAUCAGCCCAUGAAAUAUUUUCAUCAUCAGGAUGAAGAAAAUUAUUUUGCACUGUUUCUGUUGUUCGGAAGUGGAAACAUUUUCGGGUGUGAAUCCCCCAAAGGACUUUCUGUGGACUCCCUACGUCUUAUCCGGGAUUGUGCAGUAUGGAGUCAGAAACGCCACGGGAAGAAGUCGUUGGCCUGCCUUCUCCAGGAGCUUUCCCUGGGCAGUCGUCUCUGCCCAUGUUAUAGAAGACGGCAAAAAUCCGAGCCAUCGUGCAUCUGGCCAAUUAUGCAAUGCUCCGUCGCGAGGGGAAAUUCCUUCCUCACCCCAGCUGGUGAACAGUUAUGCCCUGGAGCCCAGGACGGCCAUGCCUUGUAACUUUUUAACCUAGUUAGUGUAACUGCCAAUAUUAUUCCUAUUCAUAUAAAUGUCUAAUCCUUUCUUGAAUCUUGCUAGACUAUUUGCCUCAAUAAUACCCUGCGGCAGUGAAUUCCACAGGUAGAUUAUACGCUGUUUUAAGAAGUAUUUCCUUUUUUUUUUUUCAUUUUAAAUUUGUUACCUUUUCACGUCACAGGAUGGCCCUUGUUCUUGCAUGAAGGGGCCCGCGAUCCAGGCGUUUCAAGUUCUGCUUUAAUUUUUCCAAGCGCUUCGCCAUCAUUAGAACUCUGUCUUCGUCAGGUAUUUUCGGUUUUGGUGUAUCCGAUCUUGAUUAAACGAGAUGAUUGACGUGAAUAGUCUCAUAUGGCUUUGGCACAUAGUAGGCACCGGAAAAAAGCUCUCCUUGGUAUUCAUUCCACUUAUUGGACAGCUUUUUUUUUUUUUUGAGUACCUACUGCGUGCAGGAAUCAUUGUAAGUAUUGGAGGGACAGCGUUGAUUGAGACAGGGUCCUUGUUUGAAGGACCCAAUUUCCUAGAGAAGAUGAGCAGCGACAUAGUGAACAAAGAUGAACGACAUGGUCUCCAGUCGUCGUAAGUACUACGGGAAAAUUAGAGAAGAGUGGUUGGCGGAGGAUGGAAGGGGCCCCAUGAGAUUGCACCGUCAGGGAGUAACUCACUGAAAAGGGGCCGGUUGAGCUGGCCCUCAAGGAAGCAUCUGUGUGAAAUCUCCAUGAAGGUGAACCCACGCUCCCAGACAAUGCCUGGCAGGAGGUGCCGUCUGUCUGGCAUGUCGCAGGGCCAUGGCCCCUGGUGUGCCCAACGCCCAGCAUCUCCGUCAGAUAGAGUUUUGACAUCUUCGCGGUGAGGUCUCGUCCACACCCACGGACUUUCAGGCGGGAUAUGUUGCUCAGCUGCCCACCUUUGUCUGGAUGAAACCGGAUGAUAUUAGGAUCUGGAGCCAUAACAGCACAUCAAGAAGACAGCAGAAAUACCUGUUAUUGACCUGAAUUAGGAUAAAAGGAAAAGAGAAGAUAAGAUCAUAGCCGUCGGCGCUUUGUUUAUGAAAACAUCAUUUUGAGGAUGAGCUUGAAUCAGACAAAAGGUCUAUAUUAAUAUGGAGAAAUGCAUUGACCAUCAGUGUUAAGGAACAUCUCUCACUGGUGACUAAGAAAAUAAUCAAUCCUAUAGCAAUUACCAACUGGAGACACAAAGAUGGCGGCAUUGACUCUGCUCUCAAGGAACUCCCAGAAGGAGACAGAAAAAGAAUCAACACAGAGAGUUGUAUACCACAGAGCAAAUGAAACAGCCCCUCAUUACUGAGCGCUAACAGAGUGAGUCUCUCUAGCUGAAGACAUCUACUGAAGAGAGUCCAGCUAAUUACAUGCAAGGAUUAACUUCUCAAGGACCCAGAAAAAGGGUGUUGUUUUAUCCAAUUCAGGGAAGACACGGCUUGUUCAUUAACUGCUAAGGUGACGGUGAUGCUGCGGAAAGAAGUCAUACAGGUUUACAGGAUGCACUGACAGUCGAAGUGUCCAGAAUCAUCCCCAGUAAGGAACCCUCCCAAAUGCUGAGCCACGUGAAGUCUAAAGAAGAAUCACUGUCAUUCAGAAAACUUGGAUCAGCUUCCUUCUGCGUUGCCUGAACAUCGGUGUCAUCUGGAUAAAGUGUUUUGAGGAAAAUUUAUGCCUCCUCACAAAGAAACAGCUGUGCAUCACCACAGUCACUAACUUUUGAAAGAUGUUACAGGAAGGUGUUCAUUUCAAGUCAGUUGCUUCAGCUACAGCGUUCCCUUCAUGUUUUAAUAUCAUGGCGUCUCCUUCUGGUCCCCUAAGUGUUACCUGGUUUCUCUGGAGGAGUGGGGGAACCCAGGACCCAUAAGUUAUGGCUCCUAUUAAGAGGGUUGGCUGGACGUGCGGACAAUGUGUCAAUAAUUAUUUCUGGCGGGGCCUUAACAGCAGAGGAAGUGCCUCUGUAGAGUGGCUUAUUUUAACAGAAGACAGAUAUGCCUGCCCCGGGUUUUAUGACAGAUGUCAAAUAUAUCGAAGUGUGUCGUGAAGCAGAUCAUCUUAUUGGCAAAGAAAUGAAAGACCACCAGGAAGAUGGAUGGGAAGCUUUCCUCAAGGGGUUUCCCGUCUCCUCGCGCAGGUGGGUGGAUCCAGCACCGGGUGUUGGGCUUGGUGGAAGCUGGAUCUCACUUCACACAGUGCUGGGCACAACGUGCAUCCUGGUCCUGCUUUAUCGCCCACUCUGUCCUGUAGCGAUACCACGAAGAACAAGCUUAAGAAAGCCGAUCUUGUGCGUUGGCUAGGUUUCCCCCGUCAUCACCUGGGCUUUUCACCACGACUGCCUACAAACAAGAGAUUCUGUCAGAGGGGAAGUGGGAGCCGACUGGUUUCAUUCGUUGUCAUCCUCCGAGCCGGCUGCCAAGGUGGUUAAAGGCUUUCUCUACGGAACAGAAAAGGCAAACCUCCCUCGAAGGGAAAAGCAGGAUCUUGUCUCACGUUAAGAGACAGGAACAGGGAAAGAACUGAACUGAAGAAGGAAUCGCUCUGUAUGUGAGACUCUUGCCGUUAAGCGAGGCAGUAAGGACAGUUUUGUGGCUCCUAUGGAGAGAGGAGUCACCGUAGAUGUCUCUCUCUUAGGCGCAAAGGAGAAAUGAUUUUUUUAGUUUGAAUCUAGGAAACGUAGGAUCUGUCACUGAAAGGAGGAGCAAAAUGGCUUUUAUUUUUUUCAUUUUUUUUAAGGUUUAUUUAUUUUUGACAGAGAGAGAGAAAGACAGAGCAUGAGCAGGGAAGGGGCAGAGAGAG